rnacentral:rRNA from 1 species
AGCGAACGCUGGCGGCAGGCUUAACACAUGCAAGUCGAGCGGGCACCUUCGGGUGUCAGCGGCAGACGGGUGAGUAACACGUGGGAACGUACCCUUUGGUUCGGAACAACUCUGGGAAACUGGAGCUAAUACCGGAUACGCCCUUAUGGGGAAAGGUUUACCGCCGAAGGAUCGGCCCGCGUCUGAUUAGCUAGUUGGUGAGGUAACGGCCCACCAAGGCGACGAUCAGUAGCUGGUCUGAGAGGAUGAUCAGCCACACUGGGACUGAGACACGG